rnacentral:rRNA from 1 species
GAUGAACGCUGGCGGCGUGCCUAAUACAUGCAAGUCGAGCGAACGGACGAGAAGCUUGCUUCUCUGAUGUUAGCGGCGGACGGGUGAGUAACACGUGGAUAACCUACCUAUAAGACUGGGAUAACUUCGGGAAACCGUAGCUAAUACCGGAUAAUAUUUUGAACCGCAUGGUUCAAAAGUGAAAGACGGCCUUGCUGUCACUUAUAGAUGGAUCCGCGCUGCAUUAGCUAGUUGGUAAGGUAACGGCUUACCAAGGCAACGAUGCAUAGCCGACCUGAGAGGGUGAUCGGCCACACUGGAACUGAGACACGGUCCAGACUCCUACGGGAGGCAGCAGUAGGGAAUCUUCCGCAAUGGGCGAAAGCCUGACGGAGCAACGCCGCGUGAGUGAUGAAGGUCUUCGGAUCGUAAAACUCUGUUAUUAGGGAAGAACAUAUGUGUAAGUAACUGUGCACAUCUUGACGGUACCUAAUCAGAAAGCCACGGCUAACUACGUG